CAAUAGCGUAUACUAAAGUUGUUGCAGUUAAAAGCUCGUAGUUGGAUUUCUGUGGGGGCGGAGCGGCCGGCCGCAACUUGCGGUUCGAGCUAGCGCUUCCCCUACAUCCUGCCGCGAACCGUGCUACCAUUAAUUUGGUGGCGCCGGGGAUCGGCUCGUUUACUUUGAGAAAAAUAGAGUGUUCAAAGCAGGCCACACGCCUUGAAUAAGUUAGCAUGGAAUAAUAAUAAAGGACUUCGGUUCUAUUUUGUUGGUGUUCGGGACUGAAGUAAUGAUUGAUAGGGACAGUUGGGGCGGUCAGUAUUCCAAAGCGAGAGGUGAAAUUCUUAGACCUUCGGAAGACUAACAGCUGCGAAAGCGUUCCGCAAGGAUGUUCCCUUUGAUCAAGAACGAAAGUUGGGGGAGUCGAAGAUGAUUAGAUACCGU
rnacentral:rRNA from 1 species